rnacentral:rRNA from 1 species
CACGUAGGAGACGAGCGUUAUCCGGAUUUACUGGGUGUAAAGCGCGUGCAGGCGGCCUUGCAAGUUGGAUGUGAAAGCUCCCGGCUUAACUGGGAGAGGUCGUUCAAGACUGCGAGGCUAGAGGACAGCAGAGGGGAGUGGAAUUCCGAGUGUAGCGGUAAAAUGCAUAGAUAUUCGGAAGAACACCAGUGGCGAAGGCGGCUCUCUGGGCUGAACCUGACGCUCAGACGCGAAAGCUAGGGUAGCAAACGGG